AUUGAACGCUGGCGGCAGGCCUAACACAUGCAAGUCGAGCGAGCGGCGGACGGGUGAGUAAUGUCUGGGGACCUGCCUGACAGAGGGGGAUAACUACUGGAAACGGUGGCUAAUACCGCAUACUAUCGGAUGUGCCCAUAUGGGAUUAGCUAGUAGGGGGGGUAAAGGAACACCUAGGCGACGAUCCCUAGCUGGGCUGUGAGGAUGAGCAGCAACACUAGGACUGAGACACGGCCCAGACUCCUACGGGAGGGAGCAGAGGGGAAUAUUGUACAAUGGGCGCAAGCCUGAUGCAGCCCUGCCGCGUGUAUGAAGAAGGCCUUCGGGUUGUAAAGUACUUUCAGCGGGGAGGCGUUACCCGCAGAAGAAGCAACGGCUAACUCCGUGCCAGCAGCCGCGGUAAUUC
rnacentral:rRNA from 1 species